rnacentral:tRNA from 1 species
GUCCCUUUCGUCUAGAGGAUUAGGACCUCGCUCUUUCACGGCGGUAACGGGGGUUCAAAUCCCCCAGGGGACA